rnacentral:rRNA from 1 species
GACGAACGCUGGCGGCGUGCUUAACACAUGCAAGUCGAACGGAAAGGCCCUGCUUUUGUGGGGUGCUCGAGUGGCGAACGGGUGAGUAACACGUGAGUAACCCGCCCUUGACUUUGGGAUAACUUCAGGAAACUGGGGCUAAUACCGGAUAGGAGCUCCUGCUGCAUGGUGGGGGUUGGAAAGUUUCGGCGGUUGGGGAUGGACUCGCGGCUUAUCAGCUUGUUGGUGGGGUAGUGGCUUACCAAGGGUUUGACGGGUAGCCGGCCUGAGAGGGUGACCGGCGACAUUGGGACUGAGAUACGGACCAGAAUCCUACGGGAGGCAGCAGUGGGGAAUAUUGCACAAUGGGCGGAAGCCUGAUACAGCAACGCCGCGUGCGGGAUGACGGCCUUCGGGUUGUAAACCGCUUUCGCCUGUGACGAAGCGUGAGUGACGGUAAUGGGUAAAGAAGCACCGGCUAACUACGUG